GAAUAAAAUGAAAAUCAAUUAAGUUUUUGAAAAAUCUAAUCAACUUUAUUUAUGAAACUCAGCAUAUAUUCCCUAUGAAAUGGAACAACAUUAAUUAGGUAAUAGUACCAUAAAAAUGCUUUAUAUGCAUAAAAUUCUAAAAGAUAUGAAAGGGUUAAGGUAAUAACUAUUUUUAAGGAGUAAUAAAAUCAUUUUCGUGAAAGUGUAAAGAAUAUCAUCUCCCAAACUCUUUUACAGAAUAUUUUGUUGUGAAUAAAUUGUCGUUUUUAAUGAAAUGAAGUAAUGUUGACACCCUGUGAAGAGAACAGGAUGAGGCUUGCAUAUGAAACCAGUAGUCAAGAGAAGAGAAUACUUUGUUUUGUGACAGGUGAUGACUGCUUUGGACCUUUUUAUGCUGACCGAGAUUCAUGUUGCUUAACCAGACAGGAGUGCAGAGGAUCUGCACUGAAGCAUUUCACUGUGAUAAAUUUUCUUUCACUUUAGAUUUAAGCAUUUCCCUUUUAGAGGAUGGAAUACUUUGAAAUACAUUUACUAAACUGAAUAUUUGAUCACAUUUUUUUCAUCUCCUAUUAAAAAAUCAUUGGAUGAACUGUAAAGACAAUUUACCUGUAAAGACAAUUCGCCUGCACACCUAGGAAUAUGUUCAUAAUUGAGUAUGUGCUUUUGCCAGCUCCUUAUAAUGCUCACAGCAAAAGCUAAACAAGACUAGUGCUUCCCAACUACCAGAGGAUAACAUCAAUUUAUCAACCAUUCUAGCAGAAGCCGUGGAGUUUCAUAAGUGAUUAAAUUGAAGGCGAUGCUUUGGGCAAUGUAGAAAUAGAACAUCUCUUGAUAAAAUUAUGACCGAGGUUGUCAAAUCUGUGGUAAGCCUGUGAUGCGGUUCGACGGGGUCAGCUCCUCUGGGGCCUUGGCUUCAAUGACAUUUUCUUAUGUUUGACUUGUCUCUGGAUCUAAAGGAAGAGCCAGCUUUCUUAAUAUAAAACCCUUUAUUGCUUUCCCAUUUCCAUGUUGACUAAGUGAUAUAUUACAUGUCAUGUGUUUCCUUCCAAGUAAGGUAUGUUCUAGCUGACCACAGAUUAGAGACAAGAAUUCACGAGAGCAGUGCUGACAUGAGGGAAAGUCAACCAGAUUAAUUCAGAGAAACUAUCUGUGUCCUGGCCUCGCCUUUGAUACUUAGUUACCUUAUGACCUUAGAAAAAGCCCCUUUACCCUCUUUUCUCAGCCUCUUUAUUGCAAAAUAAUAAAGAUGCUCUGAACCAUAUUGAAGAGUCCUGCCACUGCUAACGUGUCAUUCCUUCUUGCUUCAGUGAGAGAGUUCAAACGUAAUCUUUAAGCUUACUUUUGUAUACUGAGUAUUUCCAAGGAUGAGGAAGGCAUAGAGAAUGUAAAAUUAUAUAUAUUAUGUUAUUUGAGACUGAAUGGCAGCUUUUAAAAUGUUUUGUUAUUUCCAUUUGCAUUCCAGGAGUACUUACUAGUAGGUGCAGAAGCAUAAAUAGGAGGUGAAGAAAAUUCGGAAGAGUAUGGGAGAAUUAAAGGCCUAGGAAACUAAACAAGAUUAAUUUAUGGGUCAAAUGAUGAGACAAAAUCAACUUUUGUUUGUGUGUUUUAAUGGCCGAACCUGUGGCAUAUGGAUGUUCCUAGGCUAGGUGGUGAAUCAGAGUGGCAGCUGCUAGCCUACACCACAGCCCCAGCAACACUGGAUCUGAGCCACAUCUAUGAACUAUAUUGCAAGUUUUGACAACACUGGGUACUUUAACCCACUGCGUGAGGCCAGGGAUCAAACCCGCAACCUCAUGAACAUAUAUGUUGGGUUCUUAUCCUGCUGAGCUACAAUAGGAACUCCCAGAAUCAACUUCUUAAAAAUGGGAUCUCAAAAUCUACCUUGCCAAAAAUUUCAAAAAAGUUCAGAACGGGGGAAAAUGACCAGUGAAGAUGUACUAGGGAUAUGUGAGGGCUCAAUCAGGAGGGAGUGUGACAUGAUGGAACGGGCUCCGAUUGCCCCCCUUGUUUGCUGGCUCUAAAUGGCAGCCCCCUUGUGCCUUGACCAAGAAUGGCGAGAAAGAGUGUGUCUCUGUUAAAUGAGAUCUUGCCAUACCUCCCCACUCCCCUAAUGCCACCAAGAUUAUUUGUUGCCCACGUCAGAUACAAAUUAAAAAUUUUUAAAAAAAGAGAGAGAGGGAGAUUUUUUCAGGUGACAGUUGAGGCACCUCAGUCUAAGUGGGUCUCUAACCAUGCUUCUCUCAGUUUAGGUGAUACUUUCAUGACUUUCUUGAAAGCCUGUGGGCACAUGUUCAUACACACGUGCAUAUUAAAAAACAUGAAAUUUAGAAAAUAUGAAAAACCUUUCAUAUACUUGGUCAGUUUCUUGAGUGUUAAAAUUUUGCUUUUUAUAAGACAUUCAACUGUUUACCAAAUGGUGGCGAAUACAUUGAAGCCAGUCCUAAUUGGUUUGUGGGUAUUAAAAAAAUCUAAAACCGAAACUAAAACCACAAUGACUCCAUUUCUGUUUUGUUAUUAGGGAAGGUUUUAGGGGAGAACAUUUGAAAUAAACCAGAGGAAUAAAUCAAAAGUGCAACCAACUAGAUCAAAACAACACAAAGGAAUUUUGUAAAGCUAGAAAUGCCAUGUCACAAAGUAUCCAAUGAGACCUUCACAGAAGGGUUCUUUUCUCUAAAGAUCUAACAAGCUGACUGGAGCUAAAUGCCCUUCUGAUUUUCAUUUAUUACUCCAUCCUCUAAAAGCUUUCUUUUUUUUCCUCUGUCAAAGUCAAAGACUAAGCCUGUGUCUACCAGGGACUUCACAGAUUUUAUCAUGAAUUUCAUGGGAUUGAACAUCUGUUAGAAGAUGGUAUUUGAGAAUAACAGCCUAAUGACAUGCUAGCCAUUCUGGUCUAACAGGAGUGGAAGUAAAUGGUGUAUUCUGAAUUUUGGCAUACCCUAAGUAGUUACAGAACACCUGUUAAUACAUCGUCAGUAGUUUAGUUAUAAUUAACCUAAUGCCGCUUGCCUUUAUAAGGGAGAAAUUCAGAAACUGCUCAUUUGAAUUAUACGGUGGAUAUAUCCUUUAGUGAAUACCUACUCUAUACCAAGAGCACUGUAUAUAUAAUUUCCUUUCCUUAAUGAUUCUGUGAAGCAGGUUUGUGUGUGUGUGUGUGUGUGUGUGUGUGUGUGUGUGUGUGUGUAUUUUAUAAUUGAGAAAACAGGCUCAGAAUGCUUAGUCUCUGCUCUUUUUUACAUGUGAGCACCUUUUAAACAAUCCUUCUUUAAUGUGGUCACAGAAUUUAGAGUUUUAUCUUUUGUUUCUAAAUUCUGAUUAGAGUAGUGUUUAUUGAUGAAAAAUAAUGAAUAUUGGGAAAAAAUCUUAAUUUAGUAAAUCCCCAUCUUAAAUGAUUUUGCUGGUUUUCAGAUUAAAACAUUAAAACAUUUUCCUUAAUUCAUCAUUUACAUAAUACCUUUUAUCAAGAGUUAAAUGUAACACAGGCUCCGAUUUGAUUGUACAGUCUUCCAUAUACUAUUUAUUAAUAAAUAAUGACUUAGUAUCCUUCCAGCAAGCAAUACUUUUCUUUUUUAGUACCUCAUUCCUCAGUGGCACACCCAAACUUGUCCUCACGAAUCAGUGCUCCAUAACCCAUUUCCAUUCUAGAGUUUCUGCCCUUCAUCGAAAUUCUUCCCUUUCCAAUGUUCAACUCUCCCUCAAAAUGAAAAGACUAUGUUUUGUCAAACUGAUUUCUAUUGAAUAAUUCAUGCCUUGUAAUUUCUCAAAUACUCCUUCUUGUGUCAUAGCUAUUUUUUUUUAAUUCAUAUAUAUGUAUUAAUUACUCACUAAAGGCAAGGUACUGCCAUGCUGUUGGAAUGAAGAAACAGAAAUAAAGUGAAUUCACAAGUUUGUAAGAGAUGUUAAAGAUAGGAAGUAAUCAAUGCACAGAGUUGAUGUAGAAGAAGAAUUAAGCAAAUGUAAGCAGCGAUAACUGAUACCUGGAGAUGAUUUUGGAGACUCAAAGGGCUGCUGGCAUUUGGAUAAAGGAUCUGGACAUUUAAAGGUGGGGAAGAAUAUUUGAGGACAUGGUAUAGCAUGAGUUUGCCUGGACCACAUUCAGACUUACCCUAUAAGAAUGAGAUUUCGGGGACUGUGAUGGAGUAUUUGCGAGGUUUCCUGUCAUGCUUCCAAUCACUUCUUAGAGAAAAACAUUAAAAUUG
rnacentral:lncRNA from 1 species